UGGGGAGGGGGGGCGUCUGCGCAUGCGCCAGCGCCGACCGGCCUGAUGGGGAACUUCCUACCGGAGCCCAGCCUGGGCAGCUGAGACCUUUCAGCGUUUGUAGCUACCAGCCCCGAAACACAAGGCAGGCGCGCGCUGAUGCUACGAACCGGGGGACGUCGAGGAGCGCGACGAAGGGCCCUAGCGGCCUGCAGGACACAGGGCUGACCUUGAAGACUGAAGCCAGAGGAAAGGGAGUGGGAAGAGCGGAGCGCAGCGCCGGCGCUUCGUGCCAAGCACGGCGAUUGCUGCUGCGAAAGGCCCACGUAGAUUCCUAGAUGGCGGUUGAAGUUAAUCGGUUUUACUUUGCAAUUGGCCUCAGCUAGAGGACACGCUCAGGCACCACACCAGAUGGGAACAGUGACAAUUUGUGUCCCUCUUCUGAGACUAAAUCACAGCUUAAUCCAACGAUGAGAUGAUUUGCUUGAACAGUGGUGAUCUGAGCUGCGACAGUUGAAUGCUUGUGUACAUUUACAUCUAAAAUAAGCAUAAACCAACAUCAUACUUGACUGUAUUGUGUUUCCCACAACAAUUACAUUAAAAUAUAUCUGCUGAA